rnacentral:rRNA from 1 species
GGGGAAUAUUGCACAAUGGGCGAAAGCCUGAUGCAGCGACGCAGCGUGGGGGAUGACUGCCUUCGGGUUGUAAACCUCUUUCAGUAGGGAAGAAGCGAAAGUGACGGUACCUGCAGAAGAAGCGCCGGCUAGCUACGUGCCAGCAGCCGCGGUAAUACGUAGGGCGCAAGCGUUAUCCGGAAUUAUUGGGCGUAAAGAGCUUGUAGGUGGCUUGUCGCGUCUGCCGUGAAAACCCGAGGCUCAACCUCGGGCGUGCGGUGGGUACGGGCAGGCUAGAGUGUGGUAGGGGAGACUGGAACUCCUGGUGUAGCGGUGAAAUGCGCAGAUAUCAGGAAGAACACCGAUGGCGAAGGCAGGUCUCUGGGCCAUUACUGACACUGAGAAGCGAAAGCAUGGGUAGCGAACAGGAUUAGAUACCCUGGUAGUCCAUGCCGUAAACGUUGGGCACUAGAUGUGGGGGACAUUCCACGUUUUCCGCGUCGUAGCUAACGCAUUAAGUGCCCCGCCUGGGGAGUACGGCCGCAAGGCUAAAACUCAAAGGAAUUGACGGGGGCCCGCACAAGCGGCGGAGCAUGCUGAUUAAUUCGAUGCAACGCGAAGAACCUUACCAAGGCUUGACAUGGACCGGACGGCUGCAGAAAUGUGGCUUUCUUCGGACUGGUUCACAGGUGGUGCAUGGUUGUCGUCAGCUCGUGUCGUGAGAUGUUGGGUUAAGUCCCGCAACGAGCGCAACCUUCGUUCUAUGUUGCCAGCGCGUUAUGGCGGGGACUCAUAGGAGACUGCCGGGGUCAACUCGGAGGAAGGUGGG